rnacentral:rRNA from 1 species
UACGUAGGGGGCUAGCGUUGUCCGGAUUUAUUGGGCGUAAAGAGCGUGUAGGCGGCCAGGUAGGUCUGCUGUGAAAACUCGAGGCUCAACCUCGAGACGUCGGCGGAAACCAUCUGGCUAGAGUCCGGAAGAGGAGAGUGGAAUUCCUGGUGUAGUGGUGAAAUGCGCAGAUAUCAGGAAGAACACCGGUGGCGAAGGCGGCAUCCUGGACCAUUACUGACACUGAAAAGCGAAAGCCAGGGGAGCAAACGGG